UUUCUACUCCCUCCGUCCGAAAAUACUUGUCAUCAAAAUGGAUAAAAAGAGAUGUAUCUAAAACUAAAAUACGUCUAGAUACAUUUCCUUUUAUCCAUUUUGAUGACAAGUAUUUCCGGACGGAGGGAGUAUUUA
rnacentral:pre_miRNA from 1 species